rnacentral:rRNA from 1 species
GGGGAGCAAACCAGGAUUAGAUACCCUGGUAGUCCACGCCGUAAACCGAUGAGUGCCUAGCUGUAGGGAGCUAUAAGUUCUCUGUAGCGCAGCUAACGCAUUAAGCCACUCCGCCCUGGGGAGUACGACCGCAAGGUUGAAACUCAAAGGAAUUGACGGGGGCCCGCACAAGCGGUGGAGCAUGUGGUUUAAUUCGAAGCAACGCGAAGAACCUUACCAGGUCUUGACAUACUCGUGCUAUCCUUAGAGAUAAGGAGUUCCUUCGGGACACGGGAUACAGGUGGUGCAUGGUUGUCGUCAGCUCGUGUCGUGAGAUGUUGGGUUAAGUCCCGCAACGAGCGCAACCCUUAUUACUAGUUGCCAUCAUUAAGUUGGGCACUCUAGUGAGACUGCCGGUGAUAAACCGGAGGAAGGUGGGGAUGACGUCAAAUCUUCAUGCCCCUUAUGACCUGGGCUACACACGUGCUACAAUGGAUGGUACAACGAGUCGCCAACCCGCGAGGGUGCGCUAAUCUCUUAAAACCAAUCUCAGUUCGGAUUGCAGGCUGCAACUCGCCUGCAUGAAGUCGGAAUCGCUAGUAAUCGCGGAUCAGCACGCCGCGGUGAAUACGUUCCCAGGCCUUGUACACACCGCCCGUCACACCAUGGGAGUUGGUUC